AGGCAGCAGUGGGGAAUCUUAGACAAUGGGCGCAAGCCUGAUCCUAGCCAUGCCGCGUGAGUGAUGAAGGCCUUAGGGUCGUAAAGCUCUUUCGCCUGUGAUGAUAAUGACAGUACCAGGUAAAGAAACCCCGGCUAACUCCGUGCCAGCAGCCGCGGUAAUACGGAGGGGGYUAGCGUUGUUCGGAAUYACUGGGCGUAAAGCGCACGUAGGCGGAUUGGAAAGUUGGGGGUGAAAUCCCGGGGCUCAACCCCGGAACUGCCUCCAAAACUAUCAGUCUAGAGUUCGAGAGAGGUGAGUGGAAUUCCAAGUGUAGAGGUGAAAUUCGUAGAUAUUUGGAGGAACACCAGUGGCGAAGGCGGCUCACUGGCUCGAUACUGACGCUGAGGUGCGAAAGUGUGGGGAGCAAACAGGAUUAGAUACCCUGGUUAUUCACACCGUAAACGAUGAAUGCCAGUCGUCGGGCAGUAUACUGUUGGUGACGCACUAACGGAUUAACAUUCCGCCUGGGGAGUACGGUCGCAAGAUUAAAACUCAAA
rnacentral:rRNA from 1 species